GACGAACGCUGGCGGCGUGCUUAACACAUGCAAGUCGUACGGUAAGGCCCUUUCGGGGGUACACGAGUGGCGAACGGGUGAGUAACACGUGAGUAACCUGCCCACAACUUUGGGAUAACGCUAGGAAACUGGUGCUAAUACUGGAUAUGUGCUCCUGCUGCAUGGUGGGGGUUGGAAAGCUCCGGCGGUUGUGGAUGGACUCGCGGCCUAUCAGCUUGUUGGUGGGGUAGUGGCCUACCAAGGCGGCGACGGGUAGCCGGCCUGAGAGGGUGACCGGCCACAGUGGGACUGAGAUACGGCCCAGACUCCUACGGGAGGCAGCAGGGGGGAAUAUUGCACAAUGGGCGCAAGCCUGAUGCAGCAACGCCGCGGGCGGGAUGACGGCCUUCGGGUUGUAAACCGCUUUCAGCAGGGACGAAGCUUUUUGUGACGGUACCUGCAGAAGAAGCACCGGCUAACUACGUG
rnacentral:rRNA from 1 species